CCGAGGUUUGGUCUCCCACCUGUGAUGCCGCUGUGUUUGGACCCAGGUUUUGCGCGGACCACGAUGCUGACAGAUCCACUCCUGUCCAGUGAAACUGGUCCAGUGGAUUCAGGUUCUGCUGCUGUUGCACCGGCUUGUUGACCUUUCACCUGGCGAAACAGGGCAACGAAUGACAGAUGGAUGUGGUUGGUUGGUCCUGCUGCAGCUGGGAGGGUCUGACACGUUUCUCCUACCAGUCAUUAUAGAAAGUUCCGACGCUGCACACAGACGCAGCGCUCAUUCACAGAAAACUGCGGAACACACCAACACACCUGGACCUGGACCUGGAGCUGCAGCAGACCCUGGACCAGGACUCCUCCAGCAUGGACAGCAGUCAGAGACAGGAGACAGAAGACGGCUCGUACCCGUGUUUUCAGAGAACGCCGUCACUCAGACGUAAGUGGAGGAAACGAUACGGAGGAUUGGACGGAAACAAGCUGCUGGAGCCUGACGAGGAGCCGGAGCCCAGAGACCAUGUGACGACAGACGACAGGACCAGUGUGAACCAGGAUGCUGCUCCUCGUCCAGCACCCAGGUGUCUGCUCCAGAACAAGGUCCAGACUCCAGGCCAGAAGCCUGUGAGCCUGGUCACUCCUGGAUCUGCAGCAGCCUCAGUGUCGUUCAGUAACGGUGGACUGAAGCCCCCUCUGCCCCAGGCUGUGGUCCAGCCAGAAGAUCGCAGUUUCCUGCCUUCACCCUGGUCUCCACCUCAGCAGAGUCCUUCAAAACGCAGAGCAGCUGCUGACGUGCUCUUUGACAGCUUUGCUUCACGUGGAAGAAUCAACGUCGGCCACUUUUUUGAGUCUGUGUGGAGCGCUGGACUCCAUCGGUCCGACCCGCGACUCAGGGAGUGUUUCUUCCACCUGAGGAAACUGCAGGACGCUGAGGGGACGGUGGACAGAACCGCCUUCCACAGGUGCGUCGCAGGCUUCGUCUCCUUCAUCCUGAAAGCUCUGCAGGGAAGAUUCGUCAUUCCGGAUUUUUCCACCUUCACUGAAGAGACUCAGAAGUUGUUCUCCAGGUGUCGUCAGUUCUCACCUGCUCAGGACAAAGACAAGCAGAAUGUGGACAGCAGCAGGUGGGCGGUCUCCAUCUGCACCGUGGACGGACAGAGGUCUGUACCUGCUGGACCACAGCGCCACCCUGGGCUGGGUCACGUAAACUACAACAACCUGUCUGUGUGUGUGUGUGUGUGUGUCCUCAGACUGUCUCUGGGAGACUGGUCCGGUCCAGUGUGUCUGGGUGACGCCUCCUGGCCUCUGCUGUACGGUGUGUCAGUGGAGCUGCUGGGAUCGAACCUGGUCCACAGAUACGUGGGACUGGAGGAAUAUUCCAGACAUGAGUCUCCCUUCUCCCUCACCAGGACAGGUCACAACACUAGUCUGAGAGUUCCUCACAGUCCACUGACAGAGACUGGAGCCAUUGUUGUAUCAUCUCUACUACAGUCGUCCAACCAACUUUCUACAGAUGAAGAGGAGAAAUACGACUCAGUGCUGAAUGUUAUUCGGAGACUGUGUAACAGAGAACACGCCGACCUGAACAGCAGCAGUUUUCAACGCAACAGGAAGAAGAAUGAACGACUCCACGCUCUCUCCUACUUCCUGCAGGAGAAGAAGUGUUUUCCAGAGAAGGUUGACCUCCUCUCAGUGUUGGAGCUGCUGCAGCAGUGCUCGUCCACAGAGGUGACCUGUGAAUCGGGGGCUGUCAUGGCCGCCUCGUUGGCCAAUGGGGGCCUUUGUCCACUGUCAGGUGACCAGGUGCUGUCUCCAGCGUCUGUACGGAGUAUGAUGUCCAUGAUGCAGGUGGCAGGGAUGAAGGAGUCCUCCACCGCGUUCCUCCACAAGACAUCGGUACCAGCAGUGUCCAGCGGCCAUGGAGUUCUGUUGGCUGCGGUCCCUGGAGUUCUGGGUCUCAUGGCAUUUUCUCCUGAGGUAGAUUCCUUUGGAAACCCCUGGAGGGCGCUGCACUUCUGCCAGGAAUGGUUUCGACUUUCCAACUCCACAGUUUUGACGUCAGGGCGUCCAGGCAGGUUCUGGUCUACAGACAGUGGAAGUCUGAGUCCGAGGGCUAUGACAUCAUCAACGUCCUGCUGGCUGCGUUCAGAGGAGACGUCCAGUCUCUGAGAAGGUAUUUCCUGUCUGGAGUAGACGUGAACGCCGUGGACUACGACGGCCGCUCCGCACUCCAUGUGGCGGCCGCUGAAGGUCACGCAGAGGUCAUACGUUUCCUGUUGGACAAUGCUGGAGCAAACCCUGCCCUCAAAGACAGGUGGGGGAGCUCUCCACUGCAGGAGGCCAGGAGGUACAACAGAGAGGCUGCAAUCCAGGUGCUGCAGGGAGUCAUGUGACCCAACCUGAACCACGAGUUCACUCUUUAGUUUCCAGUAAUUUUGCUAAAAAAGAGUUGAACUUUGUUUUAAAAAGGAAAUAAAAUAACAAUAUUGUGAUUAUUUUCCUGGAGAAAAUCAGUGAUUUCAGCUCCGACCAAACCUUUUUCACUAUCUUUGAUCAAACUUUGAACCUGUUCUUCUUUGAAUGAGAAAGAUUCAACUCUUUGUUCUCACGUCACCUCACACUGGUCAGUGGUGCUCAUGGUCUCGGCUCCUGGUGUUUUUAGGACUAGUGAUCAUGGUUUUAUCCAGACUCUGUUUCUGGUUCUUUUUACUGCAGUUUUUUCUGUUUCACGGCAGGAUUUAAUUCUGUUGUUCGAUUAUUUCUGUCUGAUUUCUGUCCUCGCGACCACGUCUUCCCAUAAGAUAAACAGCACCCCCAACAGGUGAAGUUAGGUUCUCCGCAUUUACGUUGAUACAUUUGAGCUAAGCUGUCAAUCAUUACUUUAAGUUUGACAAUUAGUCAAUGAGUUCUGACAGAUGUAAAAUAAAAUCUUUAUUUUCCUCCAGUGAUUCUUUAGAAAAGUUUCAGAAAUAUUUUUAAACACACACACAUACACACACACACAACUUACACCUAGAAAAUUUGAGGACAAACAUCUGAAAAGAGUUCCAGCACAAAAUCGGAAUUCUUCUUCUUCUUCUGUGGAGACG